rnacentral:rRNA from 1 species
GUGAACUGCGGAAGGAUCAUUACCGAGUGUAGGGUUCCUAGCGAGCCCAACCUCCCACCCGUGUUUACUGUACCUUAGUUGCUUCGGCGGGCCCGCCAUUCGUGGCCGCCGGGGGCUCUCAGCCCCGGGCCCGCGCCCGCCGGAGACACCACGAACUCUGUCUGAUCUAGUGAAGUCUGAGUUGAUUGUAUCGCAAUCAGUUAAAACUUUCAACAAUGGAUCUCUUGGUUCCGGCAUCGAUGAAGAACGCAGCGAAAUGCGAUAACUAGUGUGAAUUGCAGAAUUCCGUGAAUCAUCGAGUCUUUGAACGCACAUUGCGCCCCCUGGUAUUCCGGGGGGCAUGCCUGUCCGAGCGUCAUUGCUGCCCAUCAAGCACGGCUUGUGUGUUGGGUCGUCGUCCCCUCUCCGGGGGGGACGGGCCCCAAAGGCAGCGGCGGCACCGCGUCCGAUCCUCGAGCGUAUGGGGCUUUGUCACCCGCUCUGUAGGCCCGGCCGGCGCUUGCCGAACGCAAAUCAAUCUUUUUCCAGGUUGACCUCGGAUCAGGUAGGGAUACCCGCUGAACUUAAGCAUAUC